UGGAUGGUUGGAGCCCUUGGAGGUCAUUUCCAGCCUUGCUGAUUCCCUGAGUCCUGUUUCUUAGCUCCAGAAUUCCAUUGUCUCCUUCCCAAGGUUCAACAGGUAUUUGUCGACGGGGUGUAACGCCUCUCAUGCACGAAGAAGACAUUUGGGAAUUGGGAUGGAUUUUAUUGACAUGAUUGGUGACAGGGUGACAAUGGUGACAGACCCCUCAUGCUUGUGCAGACCCAAUGGUGUCCCGAUGAAGGGCCGCAGUGUGUUGUGGGGUCAGAAAAGAGCGGGCUUAGGUGGACGGAUGCCAAGGGCAGUCGCCAGCUCUCCAGGCAGGACCCAGUGAAGGAUGUCCUUCUGCAGCACAAACAGGGUGAAGAAGACAAGCUGCAGCAGGCCCAAGAACAGCAGAAACGCCCUGCGGAACAGAAGAAGGUUGAGUCAGAUCUGGGGGCACGUUUGUCACAGCACUUUCCAUCCAGCCCCGGCAAAUGGCCGUGGACAUGUGCCAUACAGGGAGCAACGGAAUCUGUCGUAGGUCUGCGCAGGGCUGCCAAGAUCGCCACCCCACCUGCUCUCCCACCCAGGACCCUAAGCAAUACUGAAGCAUUUUAUCUCCAAACAGUCAAAAGCUGCCUGAUGGUCUCUGGACCCCAGGGCGACUCACCGCAGCCAGGUGGUUACAAGUGGGUGCUUCUGUGCUGCUGUCUGCUCAUCCUAGAGGACAAAGCAAAGCAGGGCCACGCGUUGGGGUGAGCGCAGGUUUGGGCACUCGGAAGCCCUCCUUCGUCCCCACAACCAGAGGGAGGCCCAUAUCCCCUGCGGUGGCCCGGAGGUGAGCCUUCCCUCCCCAAGGCCC
ensembl:lncRNA